UAGCAUAUCAAUAAGCGGAGGAAAAGAAACCAACAGGGAUUGCCCUAGUAACGGCGAGUGAAGCGGCAACAGCUCAAAUUUGAAAUCUGGCUCUUUCAGAGUCCGAGUUGUAAUUUGCAGAGGGCGCUUUGGCUUUGGCAGCGGUCCAAGUUCCUUGGAACAGGACGUCACAGAGGGUGAGAAUCCCGUACGUGGUCGCUAGCUAUUGCCGUGUAAAGCCCCUUCGACGAGUCGAGUUGUUUGGGAAUGCAGCUCUAAAUGGGAGGUAAAUUUCUUCUAAAGCUAAAUAUUGGCCAGAGACCGAUAGCGCACAAGUAGAGUGAUCGAAAGAUGAAAAGCACUUUGGAAAGAGAGUCAAACAGCACGUGAAAUUGUUGAAAGGGAAGCGCUUGCAGCCAGACUUGCUUGCAGUUGCUCAUCCGGGCUUUUGCCCGGUGCACUCUUCUGUAGGCAGGCCAGCAUCAGUUUGGGCGGUGGGAUAAAGGUCUCUGUCACGUACCUCCUUUCGGGGAGGCCUUAUAGGGGAGACGACAUACCACCAGCCUGGACUGAGGUCCGCGCAUCUGCUAGGAUGCUGGCGUAAUGGCUGUAAGCGGCCCGUCUUGAAACACGGACCAAGGAGUCUAACAUCUAUGCGAGUGUUUGGGUGUCAAGCCCGAGCGCGUAAUGAAAGUGAACGGAGGUGGGAACCCGCAAGGGCGCACCAUCGACCGAUCCUGAAGUUUACGGAAGGAUUUGAGUAAGAGCAUGGCUGUUGGGACCCGAAAGAUGGUGAACUAUGCUUGAAUAGGGUGAAGCCAGAGGAAACUCUGGUGGAGGCUCGCAGCGGUUCUGACGUGCAAAUCGAUCGUCAAAUUUGGGCAUAGGGGCGAAAGACUAAUCGAACUAUCUAGUAGCUGGUUCCUGCGA
rnacentral:rRNA from 1 species